AUUGAACGCUGGCGGCAGGCCUAACACAUGCAAGUCGAGCGAGCGGCGGACGGGUGAGUAAUGUAUGGGGACUGCCCGAUAGAGGGGGGUAACUACUGGAAACGGUGGCUAAUACCGCAUACUGUCGGAUCACCCAUAGGGGAUUAUCUAGUAGGUAAGGUAAUGGCUUACCCAGGCGACGAUCCCUAGCUGGUCUGAGAGGAUGAUCAGCCACACUGGGACUGAGACACGGCCCAGACUCCUACGGAGGCAGCAGUGGGGAAUAUUGCACAAUGGGCGCAAGCCUGAUGCAGCCAUGCCGCGUGUAUGAAGAAGGCCCUAGGGUUGUAAAGUACUUUCAGUCGGGAGGCGUUACCGACAGAAGAAGCACCGGCUAACUCCGUGCCAGCAGCCGCGGUAAUAC
rnacentral:rRNA from 1 species